AAAAAUUGAAAGGCAAGACCAUGCUCAAAGUGCAGCUGGUUCGAUUGUCUUGCACAAACAAUGUGAUUCGAGCAGCUGAUUCGUGUGAUUGCUCCACUAAUCGAUUUCAUAAUCCACGUUACCAAUUUCUGAAUAAUCACACGAAGCAUUAUGAAAUUUGGUUGAAACACGUACAAGGAAUACAAAGCCUAGCCGCCACCAAAUGUGAUUCACUCUGUAAUGAUAAGGUACAAAAUAAGCAAAUUCUAGAUCAUAAAUAACAGAAGACGGUAAGCUUUCCAGUUUCCAUGAAAAAAUCACAUACCUAAUACCUUUACAAACAUUAGAGCAAUAGCAGUUAUAGCUCCAACAUCAACAAUGAACUGUGUCCUAU
rnacentral:lncRNA from 1 species